UGGGUUUGUCCUAAGCCAAACUUCUCCAUGUUUGACAAACUUAAUAGAAAAGUUCAGCAGCAUUUCCAACACAAAACAAAUAUAAUAUAAUAUAAUAUAAAAAUAUAUUCAUUGGUGGACUUAAUGAAACUAAUUAGAUGCUGUAGAUGUCGCUAUGUUUUUCUAUAAACUUGGUCAAACUUGAAGAAGUUUGACUUAGGACAAACCCAA
rnacentral:pre_miRNA from 1 species